rnacentral:lncRNA from 1 species
GGAAGAAAAAGGCAGACCACUCCACAUUGGUAGGUGGCAGGUUUAAUAAGCAAGAGAACUUAGUUACGAGGCACGUGCUUGUCUUCGGCAGCUGCAAGAAGAGCAGAUCUUCUCACCUGCCCACCAGAAAGGAUAUUCAUAACUUGAGAGGCACAGAAACAAAAAAGGUUGGUGGUGCUCUGAAACAAAAAAGGUUGGUGGUGCUCUGUUGUUUUGGAGACUUUAUUUUUCAUUUCUUUUAUAAGAGAUACACCUCAAGGGUAAAAACAAAGAAAAGUUGCAAAUUAAAGGCUGGAGGAAUGCAUAACAUGUGGACACUAGUCAAAGUCCAUUUAUCCUAAUAUCAGACACGAUUGACUUUAAGAUAAUAAGCAUUAUUAGAGAAAAAA